rnacentral:rRNA from 1 species
ACCUGGUUGAUCCUGCCAGUAGUCAUAUGCUUGUCUCAAAGAUUAAGCCAUGGCAAGUCUAAGUAUAUGGCUGUAUAGUUGAGACUGCAGAUGGCUCAUUAAAGACAGUUAUAGUUUAUUUGAUGGUCCUUUACUAAUUGGAUAACCGUAGUAAUUCUAGAGCUAAUACAUGCAUAAAGGCCUGACUUACGAAAGGCUGUGUUUAUUAGAUAAAACCAAUUGCCCUUUGGGUAUUAGGUGAUUCAUAGUAACUUCUCGGAUCGGAUGUCUUCGCGACGCCGACAGAUCAUUCAAAUUUCUGCCCUAUCAGCUUUCGAUGGUACGGUAGUGGCCUACCAUGGCGGUGACGGGUGACGGAGAAUUAGGGUUCGAUUCCGGAGAGGGAGCCUGAGAAACGGCUACCACAUCUAAGGAAGGCAGCAGGCGCGUAAAUUACCCAAUCCUGACGCAGGGAGGUAGUGACAAGAAAUAUCAAAAGAUUGAACACAGUUCUGUCUUAUUGGAAUGAGUACAUUCUAAACCCCUUAACGAGAACCAAUUGGAGGGCAAGUCUGGUGCCAGCAGCCGCGGUAAUUCCAGCUCCAAUAGCGUAUACUAAAGUUGUUGCAGUUAAAAAGCUCGUAGUUGGAUUUCUGUGCACCGGUUGUUGGUCCGCCUCUAUGAGGUGGGUCCUUCACCGUUGUACAUCCUGUUGGCAGACACGUGCUGGCAUUCAUUUGUCGGUGCGGGGAGACCACUCGUUUACUUUGAGAAAAUUAAAGUGUUCAAAGCAGGCGCUCGCUUGAAUACAUUAGCAUGGAAUAAUAGUAUAGGACUUUGAUCUUAUUUGUUGGUUUUAAAGAUCAAAGUAAUGAUUGAUAGGGACAGUUGGGGGCAUCAGUAUUCUGAAGCGAGAGGUGAAAUUCUUGGACCUUCGGAAGACUAACAACUGCGAAAGCAUUUGCCAAGGAUGUUCUCUUUAAUCAAGAACGAAAGUUAGGGGAUCGAAGACGAUCAGAUACCGUCGUAGUCUUAACUAUAAACUAUGCCAGCUAGGGAUCGGUGAACGUUGUUUCGACUUCAUCAGCACCUUAUGAGAAAUCAAAGCAUUUGGGUUCCGGGGGGAGUAUGGUCGCAAGGCUGAAACUUAAA